AUUUGAAUUUAUCUGACUAGGUGCGGCGCGACUAGGACGUGAACUUUAAAUUUUUGCAGUUAAUUUUCAAAGCUCAAAAGUUCAAGUUUCAGGUUUUAAAGGCCGGAGGCGCGUGGAAGGUCGAAUGGCGAGUAAAAUGUUUUGAAUUUAGUUAUACUUAAAAACGUUAUGUUUAGUAAAGUAUUUUAACAUAAGAUGUUUAUUUCCCUAUUUUCACAUUAAAUAUUUAUUUAUAGUCAUGAUUUUCCGCGUGCGUUUUCAUUUAAAAUUAAAAUGAAUUUGGGUGUCACAAGUCGAAUCUAUGUAAAGAUAAAUGUUUCUUAAAACAUAUUAUGUUAUUUCAUGUGAUAUCUUUUGGUUAUGUAAACUCUGAAAUUCUAUACUA